rnacentral:rRNA from 1 species
GACAGAGGUGCCGAGCGUUAGGCGGAAUCACUGGGCUUAAAGCGUGUGUAGGCGGCCUUCUAAGUCCCUUGUGAAAUCCCACGGCUUAACCGUGGAACUGCUUGGUAUACUGGUUGUCUUGGGCCAUCUAGGGGCUACUGGAACAAACGGUGGAGCGGUGAAAUGCGUAGAUAUCGUUUGGAACGCCAAUGGUGAAAACAAGUAGCUGGGGAUGUGCCGACGCUGAGACACGAAAGCCAGGGGAGCGAACGGG